UACGUAGGUGGCAAGCGUUAUCCGGAAUUACUGGGCGUAAAGCGCACGCAGGCGGCGCAUCAAGUUCGACGUGAAAGCUCCCGGCUCAACUGGGAGAGGUCGUUGAAGACUGAUGUGCUUGAGGCAAUGAGAGGGGUGUAGAAUUCCCGGUGUAGUGGUGGAAUGCGUAGAUAUCGGGGGGAAUACCAGUGGCGAAAGCGGCACCCUAGCAUUAGCCUGACGCUCAUGUGCGAAAGCGUGGGGAGCGAACGGG
rnacentral:rRNA from 1 species